rnacentral:rRNA from 1 species
UACGUAGGGUGCGAGCGUUGUCCGGAAUUAUUGGGCGUAAAGAGCUCGUAGGCGGUGUGUCACGUCGUUCGUGAAAACCUGCAGCUUAACUGUGGGCGUGCGGUCGAUACGGGCAUCACUGGAGUUCGGCAGGGGAGACUGGAAUUCCUGGUGUAGCGGUGAAAUGCGCAGAUAUCAGGAGGAACACCGGUGGCGAAGGCAGGUCUCUGGGCCAUAACUGACGCUGAGAAGCGAAAGCAUGGGGAGCGAACAGG